UAGUUUGUCCACUGUCAGACACACCUCUUGUCUCUAAUCUACAACAAGUCUGAAAUCAGGUUAAAAAUACUUCUCUGGGAUCGGUUAAGGGCUUCGGGUAGGAGAAAAUGAUGGCUGAGGCGGGGGUCCUGGAGAUGUUUUCGGAGCAGGAGCUGACCUGCUCCAUCUGCUUGGACCUGUUCAACGACCCAGUGUCGACGCCCUGUGGACACAACUUCUGCCAGGGUUGCAUUGGAGGCUACUUUGCCUCCAGCUGCACCUGCCCGCUCUGCAAGCAUCAGUUCCCGGAGCGUCCUCAGCUCAACAUCAACCGAGUCUUCGCCCAUAUCGCUGAGUAAUUAAAAAAAGCUCGCUAUGGCACGGGAAAGCCGCACAUGUUGGACAUGAAGACACCGGGAGCCAUGGCCAACAGCAACCACUUUCUGGAGGAGAUGAUCAAAUGUGACGUGUGCACAGGGGGGAAAAACAAGUGGCGAUCAGCUCGUGUUUGAGCUGCACGGCAUCCUACUGCGAGGCCCAUGUGCAGUCUCACCUGUACACGCCCUUCUACGCCAACCACCAGCUCCUGGAGCCCCGGGAAGCGUGUCGCGACCGCACCUGCCCACUGCACCACCGGCCUCUGGAGGUGUACUGCCGCACGGACCAGAUCUGUAUCUGUGUGCUGGAGGAGCACUGCACACACCACACUGUGUCCGUGCAGACAGUCGGCAAACAGGUGAAAGCUGCUUUGCCUUCUCACAUCAGGCUCUUGGAGCACACACCCCUUCAGAACUUUAAUGGCCCACGCAGCUCAAAGAGGCUUUUUGUGCCAAGGUUAUAGUCUGGAGGCUACUUAAGGGUGUGGUGUGUUUUGGGGGGUUGGAUGUGUUCCUUAUAGAAGUAUAAUUUCAUUCUAGUACUGUGGUUGGUGUCUGGUGUUUUAUUUAGGUUACUUUUUUAAAUAUUACAACUUGCAUUUUGAUUGAACCUUUGAAAGACUGAGUAUUGGCCACUAGUUUGUAGGUCAUAUGGGCGUCUCAGCUUCUUGCAAUGCGGAUGACAUAGAUAACACCUUGUAAAUUAGCAACACAUUUCCAUUCAAUGACUGCAUCACAAUUUGACAGCUCCCGGUUACACUAUUUUAAUAGUCAUUAUAUAUUACAUCCUCCUUUGGCUCUGAGCAGAAAACAAAGGAACAGCUCAUCGCUUAAAUGUAUCUUAGAAAAUGGGCAGCUCCAUUGAGGCCAUCUCUAUUUUGACGUAGUCAAUUUUCUAUUUCUGAGUUGACAAACGAAGGGUGCGACCUGGAAUGUGUUGUAUGAACAGGUAUAAAGCCAAGGUUUGAUUUACUGCCACCUGCAGUUAUGUAAUGUUUACUCAUGAGUAGCAAUCAUUGGCUGAUUCCUCCUGAUGACACGGAUGGAAUAUUUCUAUUUUAUUUGACCUUUAUUUAACUUGGCAAGUCAGUUAAGAACAAAUUCUUAUUUACAAUGACGGCCAAACCCGGACGACGCUGGGCAAAUCGUGCGCCGCUCUAUGGGGACUCCCACUCAUGGCAGGUUGUGAUACAUUCUGGAUUUGAACAAGGAUUUAUGUAAUGAAGCCUCUAGCACUGAGAUGCAGUGCCUUCUAUCGCUGUGCCACUCGGGAGCCCAAAAUCAUGUGAUCCUUCCUUAACCUAUAGGAAGACAUACAGGUAUUAUGACUCAUACUGUGGUCAAAGUCCUCAAUGGUGCUAAAAUGGGCUCUUGGGCACUAGAGUCCUCAAUAUCUCUAUGGGUCAGGCAUCUGACCAAAAACAUGAGCAAUUUUACAUGAUUUAGGUCCAUCUGUGUAUAAUGGGUUUGACCCAAGGCAAAUGAAUAACAUGCAUGAUUUUAUUUUUUGCUGAGUGAAUGUACUUCAUUAUGUUAUCUGCUGUGUGUGUCUGUGUGUAUAUAUAUAUUUCAAGAGCAAUGUUUUUCUAUUUGCAUCUAAAAAUAUAUAUUUUUUGCAUUUCACAAAGCACGUUUUACUUAAGUGUUCCCUAAGAGCCUGUUUAAGCAGCAGCAGGCCAGCAGAAUUGUCUAGUUAGGACAAGUAGUGAACAGACACGAUGCCAAAUCUACUCUCAAUGACACUGCAUUCACAUAAUUUGUCUCUCAUCCUCCAUCUCUUUCUUGUCCUUUGUCUGUCACACAAACUCAUUGGGAAGACAGAUCUAGAGAUUCUUAACAGGAUUGAGGGGAAGCUCCUCCGUCUGAAUGAGCUCAAGAGCCGACUGGAGACCGUCAGGGUAGGCAGCUAAUUCACAGGCCCCAACGUAUCAACACUGUGUUCAAUCUAUUUGACCCCCUUCACUAAACCCCUCAACACAUCGAGCUUCAUAUUUAUCAGAUCACGCUACCACUCCCUCUAGUGUUAGGAGAACGUACCAACGACCAUUACUCCCACUGCAGUGGCUAUUAGCAGGUCAAGACAGUCUGUUUAGUCAACCGAAAGGAUGUUUGCCAUACCCCUGUUAUGAUAUAUUACAGAAAAUACUCAAUUAAAAUGUAAAAAAUAAUAAUAAUAAACACAUUGGGUUUGAAUCACA